CCGGCCGCAAGAUGAGGUCUCAUAGGGUCGUCAUAGACGAUGACGUUGAUAGGUGGCAGGUGUAGAGGCGGUGACGUCAAAGCCGAGCCAUACUAAUAGCCCGUCGGCUUUGCCGC
rnacentral:rRNA from 1 species